UACAGAGGGGGCAAGCGUUGUUCGGAAUUACUGGGCGUAAAGCGUGCGCAGGCGGUUUUGUAAGCCAGAUGUGAAAUCCCCGGGCUCAACCUGGGAAUGGCCGUUGAAACUGGCGAACUGGAGUGUGGCAGAGGGGGGUGGAAUUCCGGCGUGUAGCAGUGAAAUGCGUAGAGAUGCGGAGGAACACCGAUGGCGAAGGCAGCCCCCUGGGCUGACACUGACGCUCAGGCACGAAAGCGUGGGGAGCAAACAGG
rnacentral:rRNA from 1 species